UACAGAGGGUGCAAGCGUUGUCCGGAAUUAUUGGGCGUAAAGAGCUCGUAGGCGGUCUGUUACGUCUGCUGUGAAAACCCGGGGCUUAACCCUGGGCUUGCAGUGGAUACGGGGCAGACUAGAGGCAGGUAGGGGGAGAAUGGAAUUCCCGGUGUAGCGGUGAAAUGCGCAGAUAUCGGGAGGAACACCGGUGGCGAAGGCGGUUCUCUGGGCCUGACCUGACGCUGAGGAGCGAAAGCGUGGGGAGCGAACAGG
rnacentral:rRNA from 1 species